UAAGCGGAGGAAAAGAAACUAACAAGGAUUCCCCUAGUAACGGCGAGUGAAGCGGGAAGAGCUCAAAUUUGAAAUCUGGCACUUUCAGUGUCCGAGUUGUAAUCUCGAGAAGUGUUUUCCGCGCUGGACCGCAUAUAAGUCUGUUGGAAUACAGCGUCAUAGUGGUGAGAACCCCGUAAAUGAUGCGGACGCCCAGUGCUUUGUGAUACACUUUCGAAGAGUCGAGUUGUUUGGGAAUGCAGCUCAAAUUGGGUGGUAAAUUCCAUCUAAAGCUAAAUAUUGGCGAGAGACCGAUAGCGAACAAGUACCGUGAGGGAAAGAUGAAAAGCACUUUGGAAAGAGAGUUAACAGUACGUGAAAUUGUUGGAAGGGAAACGCUUGAAGUCAGACUUGCUGUUUGGAAUUCAGCCGCAAGGUGUACUUUUCAGAUAUGCAGGCCAGCAUCAGUUUUUGGGGGUGAAAAAGGGUAUUGAGAAGGUAGCAGUUUCGGCUGUGUUAUAGCUCUUUACUGGAUUCAUCCUUGGGGACUGAGGAACGCAGCUCACUUUUUGCACGACCCUCGGGUGUUCUGAGCUUAGGAUGCUGGA
rnacentral:rRNA from 1 species